CUACGGGAGGCAGCAGUGGGGAAUAUUGCACAAUGGGCGCAAGCCUGAUGCAGCCAUGCCGCGUGUAUGAAGAAGGCCUUCGGGUUGUAAAGUACUUUCAGCGGGGAGGAAGGUGUUGUGGUUAAUAACCGCAGCAAUUGACGUUACCCGCAGAAGAAGCACCGGCUAACUCCGUGCCAGCAGCCGCGGUAAUACGGAGGGUGCAAGCGUUAAUCGGAAUUACUGGGCGUAAAGCGCACGCAGGCGGUCUGUCAAGUCGGA
rnacentral:rRNA from 1 species